rnacentral:tRNA from 1 species
GGAGCGGUAGUUCAGUUGGUUAGAAUACCGGCCUGUCACGCCGGGGGUCGCGGGUUCGAGUCCCGUCCGCUCCGCCAC